ensembl:lncRNA
UGUAGCUGAACACGGCCACUACUGGGUGACAGGAGUGAGCGGAGCUUCUGAUUGACAGGAGAACUUCAGGAACCUUAAAUGGAGUUAUAGAAAAACUGUAGGAAUAAAAUCUAAGCAGAUUUGACAUAAAACACAAAAUGGGAGAACAGAACACAGGCAGGAAGUGGCAUUUUAUUUGGUGAAUAUUUCGCUUGAAGGCGUGUUAAAGGGAAAGAACUGAAACAUUGAUUGUAGUGUGUGGCUGUAAGGAUAGGAGUCUCCCUACCUCAGUUCAAGCAGCAGUGAUAGUAAGCAAGUCACACACAUACGCACACACACACACACAUGCGCACACACACACACACAGUUCCAUGACCAUGACAAUAUAAGGAAGUAGGCGAGUGACACACAGUGACAGAUCAUGACCAUCAUGAUUGACAGGAGCUUGGUGACAUAAUUACCAUCCAUCUCAUUUUUCUCACGGCUACAGCACAGAGUCUCUCACACACACACACACACACACACACACACACACACACACACACACCAACCCUCUCAUGGCUACAGCACAGAGGACCAGGGGGGAGCAGGUCUCACACACACACACACACACACACAUCAACCCUCUCAUGGCUACAGCACAGAGGACCAGGGGGAAGCAGGUCUCACACACACACACACACACACCUUUAAAUGUUAAGAGAUGACAACUAAUCCUUUAAAUGUGAAGAGAUGAAGACUAACCCUUUAAAUGUUAAGAGAUGGUGACUAACCCUUUAAAUGUUAAGAGAUGAAGACUAACCCUUUAAAUGUUAAGAGAUAGUGAUAUGGAGAUGAAGACUAACCCUUUAAAUGUUAAGAGAUGAAGACUAACGCUUUAAAUGUUAAGAGAUGAAGACUAACCCUUUAAAUGUUAAAAGAUGAAGACUAAUCCUUUAAAUGUUAAGAGAUGAAGACUAACUGUCUUACUUUCUUUAUGAACGACCAGGCAUGAGUAGUGACCACUCCCACCAGUUGGGACAUGGCAUGGUGAGAGACUGAGGGGGUAACUGACCUGGCAGGGUGAGAGUGAGAGACUGUGUGUGUGUGUGUGUGUGUGUGUGUGUGUGUGUGUGUGUGUGUGUGUG